GCCCCCAUCGUCUAGAGGACUAGGACACCGCCCUUUCAAGGCGGCGACAGGGAUUCGAAUUCCCUUGGGGGCA
rnacentral:tRNA from 1 species